GACAACGGGAAACAAUUUGAACAAUUCCCAUUAAAUAUUAGUCUAUAUCCAUUCAACCAUCUGUACGGGCAUGGGAUCCUCGGCUAUGAAGGCCUUGCGAUGGCCACCAGACCAGCUAGGGCCCUAGGCCAAGCCCGGCCCCACCCUCACUGUAAGAUGGCUGCUGGGAGGGGUAAACGUGUAUGCGACGUGUAGGAAAAGAUCCCACCCAGUUCUUACCAGAGAAGGAACGACAGAAGGAAAAGAGAAGAGGUUAUUUCCGAGGCUGCUUCAAAUUCAAAGUGAGGCUUCAGUCUUGGCAAUGCAAGGUUAAUGAAAGUUGGAUAUGGAAAGGACCUGUUUGACUGCAGAGUCAAUGGUCUGCAGAUGCAAAGCAUAAUCAUCCAGAAGAUGAUACAGCAGAUGUUGUUAAAUAUAUGCCAGCUCGAUCUUGACUAAAUUAUGGCAACUAGUUACACAUGUUCCUUGUGUGAUAUGGCCUUUACAUCUCUAAGCAUGGGUGUAGCACCUGAUGGACAUUGCAUCAUGGAUUGACAGUUUCUUGGGCAGAGCUGAUUAAAGAAAUGGAGGACUUUCUAACUGCUCCCCCCCAAAAAAUUCAUAGCGUGGAUUAUAAUUUAGUUGAUUGAAAAUGUUUUAAAUAAAAGUU